GACGAACGCUGGCGGCGUGCCUAAUACAUGCAAGUCGAGCGAACAGAAGCAGCAGAAUUACUUCGGUAAGGACGCUGUGGAAGUUAGCGGCGGAUGGGUGAGUAACACGUGGGUAACCUACCCUUAAGACUGGGAUACCACUUGGAAACAGGUGCUAAUACCGGAUAGGAGUAUGAGCUGCAUGGCUUAUACUUUAAAGGCGGCGAAAGCUGUCACUAAAGGAUGGACCCGCGGUGCAUUAGCUAGUUGGUAAGGUAACGGCUUACCAAGGCGACGAUGCAUAGCCGAGUUGAGAGACUGAUCGGCCACAUUGGGACUGAGACACGGCCCAAACUCCUACGGGAGGCAGCAGUAGGGAAUCUUCCACAAUGGACGCAAGUCUGAUGGAGCAACGCCGCGUGAGUGAAGAAGGUUUUCGGAUCGUAAAGCUCUGUUGUUGGUGAAGAAGGAUAUAGGUAGUAACUGGCCU
rnacentral:rRNA from 1 species